AUACGGAGGAUCCGAGCGUUAUCCGGAUUUAUUGGGUUUAAAGGGUGCGCAGGCGGCCAUUUAAGUCAGCGGUUAAAUCGUGGGGCUCAACCCCAUUCUGCCGUUGAUACUGGGUGGCAUGAUUGCGGUCGAGGUUGGCGGAAUUCGUUGUGUAGCGGUGAAAUGCAUAGAUAUGACGAAGAACACCGAUUGCGUAGGCAGCAGACCAGACCGCAAAUGACGCUCAUGCACGAAAGUGCGGGGAUCGAACAGGAUUAGAUACCCUGGUAGUCCGCACAGUAAACGAUGAAUACUUGUUUUCGGCGAUAUAAUGUCGAAGGCAAAGCGAAAGCGAUAUGUAUUCCACCUGGGGAGUACGCCGGCAACGGUGAAACACAAAUGAAUUGACGGGG
rnacentral:rRNA from 1 species